rnacentral:rRNA from 1 species
GGCUCAGGAUGAACGCUAGCUACAGGCUUAACACAUGCAAGGUCGAGGGGUAGCACGGAGGAAGCUUGCUUCCUUGGGUGACGACCGGCGCACGGGUGAGUAACGCGUAUCCGACCUACCCAUAACUCGGGCACAGCCGCUCGAAAGAGUGAUUGAUUCCCGAUAUGUCAUUGGAGUAGAUUCAAUGAUGAAAGAUUCAUCGGUUAUGGAUGGGGAUGCGUAAGAUUAGGUAGUAGGCGGGGUAACGGCCCACCUAGCCGACGAUCUUUAGGGGUUCUGAGAGGAAGGUCCCCCACACUGGUACUGAGACACGGACCAGACUCCUACGGGAGGCAGCAGUGAGGAAUAUUGGUCAAUGGUCGAGAGACUGAACCAGCCAAGUAGCGUGAAGGAUGACUGCCCUACGGGUUGUAAACUUCUUUUGUUUGGGAAUAAAUGAUACUACGUGUAGUAUUUUGCAUGUACCUUACGAAUAAGCAUCGGCUAAUUCCGUG